AUCUUAGAUAUCCACUUCAUGUGC
rnacentral:siRNA from 1 species